AUGGGUAGCGGCAGCAGCAGAGGGAAAAAAAUCGCACCCGAAUUGGUGAGAGAGGCAAAGGCUUACCGAGCGGAGAAAAAAGACGGCAACGAACGAGACCCUAAAGACGACAGUCGCUUAUUCACAAGCUACAAGGUCCCGAAUAUUUCCGACUUCAGCCAGUCAGGCAACAGGCUCCGACCGCACUGCCACAGCGAAGGAAACGAUUCCGACGUUUCCGCGGACGACGAUGAAGACGACAUCGACAGGGAGCUGGACCGGGUGCUGGCGGAGUGCGACGGUCGCCGUUUCUACUCCCACAGGACGCCUCCGAAGAAGUCGCUUGGCCGAUCUCACACGUACAGCUUCUGUAAUGCGAGACAGGUGCACCCGAGGAACGAGUUCAGCUCCACGCCGCGCACGCAGAGUGUGGAGCAGCUGAAAGUGGGGAAACAGCCUCCCCAGGGACCCGACACCGGGAAGAGGGGGGACGUCACGCUCGGUUUUCCUCGGGAGAAAAGCCUUUUCGCUCCUGACUCGGGCGCCGUGAGCUCUCGGUUAAAUGACACGUUGGUUCACAGAAUCGAGGGCACUACACACAGCGAACCCACAGACGCCGCCCGUAGCUCUCCAACCCCUUCCAUUAUCCGGUACGAUGGCUCGGAGGAGGAGCUCAUGGCCACUAUCGAGCGAGAAUACAGCUGAUGUCCGGGGAGGAGGGGUUUCAGUGGAAACGAGGGCUCUGGAUCACACAGCCUGCGUCGACAGAGGGCUCCCCAGCACCUCCUGAUGGGCAGCUCCCGCUUUCUUUUUGACACGCCAGUCCAAAAAACAGCGUUGCUUCUGUUAUUUGUACUAUAUCUGUAUGUAGAAACGUUUGUAAAAAUGAGGGCUAAAAAUACGUCACUUUUACAGUCAUUGUAAAUGACUAUAAUAUCAACAUUAUUUAUAUAGCGACUUCUGUAGCCACGAUUUCCUACACAAAACAAAAGUAUUCAGAACGCAAUGUUUUCUGUUCAGAAAUGCGUUAAGACAAAGCUCUUGUGGUGCUGCAGCACAGACCGAUUAAUUAUCUUCAAAUCUUCAUUUUCUUAUUUUGUAAUAUUUGUGUGCCUUGUGCUCCCAUUACUCUUUAUUUAACACACAACUGAAGGUGUGCUACGCCUGCUGACUCCAUCCUUCACCAGUGCUGGUUUCUCGCACUCCGGACACCGGAAAGGCUUGUGGCCGCGAAGACUGGGAGAUCCUGAUUGUUUCAGAAAAUUUGGGGAGCCUUUGUUUCAAUGCUCUGUUGCUGGAUUAUAGCAAGCUCUUGAAUGCAAAGGUUUUAUUUUCCUAAAACUGAUUUUUUUCUGUAAUGUUAAAACUUUUCAUUAACAUUUUUAAAAAGAAGCAAUUCCAGACACUGUUAAUUUAGUAGAGAAUUGCCUGUUUUUGCCAGAAGCUGGUACCAAAUAUGCGAAGUUGUUGAUACUUUUUGUGACAUUCACUGUUUUGGACAAGUGUUUUGUUAAAAUAAAAAUGAUUUUUAUAUAUUAUUAGGUCCUGGUCCCUUGUGGUGUGUCAAGCAGCUGGAAUUGCUGUGAGAUCGCUUAUAUUGCACUGCGACUUUGUUCCAAUCAGCAAUGUGGUUCAAUAUGCGUGAACGUGUAGCGGAGGUACAGACACGUUUCUGGUUGUCUUGUUUCUCUCCGAUGCAAAGGUAAUGGGUAGGUGUGAGUAGCAAAUUUCCAUUUGCCCAUUAAAAAAAAAUCUUUACAUUUUCAUUUUUUUGACAAUCUUAUCAUUUCUUACUUUUUAAUAUCAGACAAAAUGAGGAAAAUGUUGCUUUCAAUAUAGAGCAAAACAAGAAAAAAAGUAUCGAUAUUGACACACGCAUCUAUAUAUUCGGCAGACGUACACUAUUGGAAAUAACUGUGGAAGCAAGGGUCUAAGUGGGUAGUUAAUGUAAACUAGAAAUAAUUGCCAGGAGCCAGUUUCCAUAACUAGCGCGCAGAUGUUUCAUUGAAUACGUUCACGGGAAGGCUGAAGUACUUUUUUAUGACUUUUUAACUCAGUCCGCGCAAACACCAGCUCUUUGCCUACUGACGGAGUAGUCCGCCUGUGGGCAAACUACGGGCCGCGGGCCGCAAGCCAGUUUUAACCGGCCCUUGGGGGUAAAAAAUAAACGAGUCGAUAUUCGCCAUACUCCAACUCGUUUGGUGCCGUUUUUUUCUUACAUUUCGUGAUUCUUGUCGUUAGAUGGCGCACGGACGCCAUUACCACAGCGGUGCCAAACUGUGCAUCGCGCCACCUAGGGGAGGCGCCAUUGUCGGUCAGGGGCGUCUCAGGUAUCGCCGAAGAAACAUUUUUAUUACGAGUAAAACCAGCGUGUUUUUGCACACAGAAUGUACGAGUCGUGUGCUACCUAGCUAGACUGUUUCACAUGACACUAGGCAAGAGAGUCGGCAGUCUGUAAACAGCCUACCAGUUGACCGCGGCUUCGCUGUUGCAUGUUUCUAUGAGUGGUCCUUUUGUGAGUGUUUUGUUACACGAUCGCAAUGGAGAGGUUUUUAAAUAUGAGUAAAAAACAACGUGGAGGACACGGAGCCUAGAGAAACGGACACGCAAAUACGGAAAAGUAUGACGACAAUAAAUUGACAGUAUGCUUCCCAGUAAAUUGAAACAUUUGGGAGCUGUUCACAGUAGUUUAAAAAGUUAAAUGAAUGAACAGAAACGGCUUUUUCUAACCAAGCUACAGUUCCCAGGAAAGUUCUUCUUCCAUCAUACAAAGUAGGGUACCGAGUAGCAAAAUGCAGAAAACAUUCAUGUUAAAGUUCUACUUUUUCGAAGUCAUUUUAUUUGCAUUUUACAAAGAUGUUGACUAUUUUUCAAAUUCUUUUCACAUUCAAAUAAUUUCAAUAAAAUGUUUUGUCAAGUAUUUUUACUAUUUCGAUCCAGCCUUUACAAGUAUUUUAAUUUUGAACAUGAUUACAAAUAAUUAAAAUUGGAUCAACUUUGUUUUUAUGUUGACCCAUGAUUUUGAAGGUGUAUGACAGAGCUUUUGAAGGAGUGCGUGAUAGAAACCGCAGAUAUUCUUUGUCCUGAUAGCAAGAGCAAAUUUGAGAAAAUAAGUGUAUCACGCAGAACAGUUACCCACCGGGUCGGGGUAAUCGGUGAGGACUUGGCUUGUGAGUUGAACGUCAAGUUUUAUUCAGUUUUUAUUUUUUUUCUAUUUAUUUUUCUCUCAGGUUAUCGUUAACCGUGAACUAAUGAGCCUAUGUUGGAUUUUAAACUUAUAUAGGGCAUCGGCUAUCUGUAACAGCAGCCUGAAAUGGCCCGGUAUACAGUUUCAAAAUGUUAUGUGACAAAAAAGUUUGCCCACCCCCGCAAUAGUCUUAUCUAGAGCAGCGACACAAGCGGUCCUCGAUUCUAACCCCCUGCCUCACGCCAGCCAAUCAAACUACAAACCCCGUUUCAGUUCCUUCCGUACCAGCCAAUCGGCUCCCUGCCAGCUGGGGCGAAGACCCGCCUCCAGCCGCAUCCAAGUCAGCCCGAGUCGAAGGGAUCAGCAGCUGCGCCGAAGCUCCUUCCCUCUUUCUCCGGCGCUGCCCGGCUCAGGCACAGCCGGGGCUCGCUGUCUGGCUGCUCUUGAAGAAACGCCUUGUUCAGCAGGUGCUGAAACGCCUCCCCUUUGCGUCGUCGUCGUCGCCUAUCACGCAGGCCACUGACGCUGACCCUGCAGGGUCUGGGGUUUUGUCAAUUCAAUUCAGUUCAAUUCAAGGGGCUUUAUUAGCAUGACCGAUGGGUACAAUCAGUGUUGCCAAAGCAAAUAAAAAUAAUAAAAUUAACAUGGAACAAAACAUAAAAAUAGAAGUAAAAUAAAAUCUACAGACAUAUUACAGACAUUUACAACAAAGACAUAUUAUAAAAUAUUGACAUAUACUGUAAACAGAUGGAGCAUUAUUGGGAGACAGACUCACUGUUCCUCAGGCUGUGACAGGAGAUCACAUACUGGGCUCCCAGUAGGAUUGGGACCCGUUGUGACUCUGGCAG
rnacentral:lncRNA from 1 species